rnacentral:rRNA from 1 species
UACAGAGGGGGCAAGCGUUGUUCGGAAUUACUGGGCGUAAAGGGCGCGUAGGCGGCCUGUUAAGUCGAACGUGAAAUCCCCGGGCUCAACCCGGGAACUGCGUCCGAUACUGGCAGGCUUGAAUCCGGGAGAGGGAUGCGGAAUUCCAGGUGUAGCGGUGAAAUGCGUAGAUAUCGGGAGGAACACCUGUGGCGAAAGCGGCUCACUGGACAGCAACUGACGCUGAUGCGCGAAAGCUAGGGGAGCAAACAGG